GAUGAAGAACGCAGCAAAAUGCGAUACGUAAUGCGAAUUGCAGAAUUCAGUGAAUCAUCAAAUCUUUGAACGCAAAUUGCGCUCUCGGGAUAGGCCUGAGAGCACGCCUCUUUGAGUAUCGAUUCAAACACAACUCGCCUGCGUGCUUGUUAAGCAUGCGAGGUAGUUGGAAACUGAGUUUCUUGCUUUGGCAAGAUUCUUCAAAUAACAUAAACUGCUCGAGUUGCGAUUAUGUGAAUCCGCUCUUGGGCUCUUUGCAUGGGUAAUAGCACAAUCUCUCGUAGAUGUGUUUUCUCAAUGUAAUCAGCUGAAAGCGCGUUUCACUGCCAAUUCAAAAGAGUAGUGACCCUCUCACGAGUCUUUGGCUCUGAGAAACUAUUUUGAACUAGAUCUCAAAUGAAGCGAGGAAACCCGCUGAACUUAAGCAUAUCAAUAAGCGGAGGA
rnacentral:misc_RNA from 1 species